GUGUCAGCAGCCGCGGUAAGACGAACCGUGCGAACGUUGUUCGGAUUCACUGGGCUUAAAGGGCGCGUAGGCGGGCUCUCAAGUCGGGGGUGAAAUCCCACCGCUUAACGGUGGAAGUGCCUCCGAUACUGGGAGCCUGGAGGGAGGUAGGGGUGUGUGGAACUUCCGGUGGAGCGGUGAAAUGCGUAGAUAUCGGAAGGAACGCCGGUGGCGAAAGCGACGCACUGGACCUCUUCUGACGCUGAGGCGCGAAAGCCAGGGGAGCAAACGGGAUUAGAAACCCUUGUAGUCC
rnacentral:rRNA from 1 species